rnacentral:lncRNA from 1 species
AUCGCUUGCGCAAUUUAGAAGAAAUCAUGCGAUUAUACGUCAAAGGGAGCUGAAAUAUCAAGCAAAAGAAAAGGUCAUCCCACAAAAGCCCAAAACUAUUGUAGGGAAAACACUUGUUUUACCUAUAAUUGAGCGUCGUAUUGGUGUUGCUGAUAUUUACUGCUAAACCAAGUCCAAUUUACCAGAAUAGUAUCUAGAAGAAUCCUUUUCACAUCCUCUAGCCCGCCAACAUCCUACCAUUUGACAUUGAGAACUAAAAAACAAAUUGUUCCCAGACGAAAGCUAAAGUCGCUUUAUACGAUUAGCUGCAGUAGGUGAGCACGAUCUCCGAACGCUGGGCAUGACACGACCAUGAUAGACGACAUGGACAUUUUGUCAAACACCUGCAUGGCGUCACCAGGGAAAACAAUCCAGCAGGAGAGUUGGGAGAGAGAUGGAAACAAUUAAUUAUGCAAACACGGAGGAGACACAAUUUGAAGAGUGUUCGUACACCUACGGCAAUCAGCGAAACGAUGAGAGAGCAUACCAAGCUCGGGUCGUCAGACACGCGGAGGACGGACGGUGGCACCGAUGGAGAUGGAGACAGUUGCGUGCCGUUUUUUG